GACGAACGCUGGCGGCGUGCUUAACACAUGCAAGUCGAGCGGAAAGGCCCUGCUUUUGUGGGGUGUUCGAGUGGCGAACGGGUGAGUAACACGUGAGUAACCUGCCCUUGACUUUGGGAUAACUUCAGGAGACUGGGGCUAAUACCGGAUAGGAGAUCCUGCUGCAUGGUGGGGGUUGGAAAGUUUCGGCGGUUGGGGAUGGACUCGUGGUUUAUCAGCUUGUUGGUGGGGUAGUGGCUUACCAAGGCUUCGACGGGUAGCCGGCCUGCGAGGGUGACCGGCCACAAUGGGACUGAGAGACGGCCCAGAGGCCUACGGGAGCCAGCAGUGGAGAAUAUGGCACAAUGGGCGGAAGCCUGAUACAGCAACGCCGGGUGCGGAAUGACGGCCUUCGGGGUGGAAACCGCUUUCGCCUGUGACGAAGCGUGAGUGACGGUAAUGAGUAAAGAAGCACCGGCUAACUACGUG
rnacentral:rRNA from 1 species